rnacentral:rRNA from 1 species
UAGGGAAUCUUCCGCAAUGGACGAAAGUCUGACGGAGCAACGCCGCGUGAGCGAAGAAGGUCUUCGGAUCGUAAAGCUCUGUUGUUAGGGAAGAACAAGCAUGACAGUAACUGGUCAUGCCGUGACGGUACCUAACGAGGAAGCCACGGCUAACUACGUGCCAGCAGCCGCGGUAAUACGUAGGUGGCAAGCGUUGUCCGGAAUUAUUGGGCGUAAAGCGCGCGCAGGCGGUCUAUUAAGUCUGGUGUGAAAGCCCCCGGCUCAACCGGGGAGGGUCAUUGGAAACUGGUAGACUUGAGUGCAGAAGAGGAGAGCGGAAUUCCACGUGUAGCGGUGAAAUGCGUAGAGAUGUGGAGGAACACCAGUGGCGAAGGCGGCUCUCUGGUCUGUAACUGACGCUGAGGCGCGAAAGCGUGGGUAGCGAACA